rnacentral:rRNA from 1 species
UACGAACCGUCCAAACGUUAUUCGGAAUCACUGGGCUUAAAGGGUGCGUAGGCGGUGCGGUAAGUUGGGUGUGAAAUCCCUCGGCUCAACCGAGGAACUGCGCUCAAUACUGCCGUACUUGAGGGAGACAGAGGUAAGCGGAACUGAUGGUGGAGCGGUGAAAUGCGUUGAUAUCAUCAGGAACACCAGUAGCGAAGGCGGCUUACUGGGUCUCUUCUGACGCUGAGGCACGAAAGCUAGGGUAGCGAACGGGAUUAGAUACCCCUGUA